UGUACUUUAUAUAUAACAAAUUAUUUUAAUUUGUUGAGCAUCAGGAUGAAUAUUAAAGGGUGAUGCUGCCAACAAGGUAUAUUUAUGUAUGCUCCAUUGCAUUUUUAGUACCAUUUUGACUAUAUUUCUGUAUUUAAGGUUCUUUUAUUUAACAUUUAUUAGCACGCUGUUCUCAUGGAGUAGUGCUUAUUGCACACCCAAACAUCUUAUUUCUUCCCAUUUUGUUGCAAGACUGCUAUGUGCAUUCAACCCACCAUCUCUUAAGAUAAAAGCUCCUAUUAUUAAAGGACAUCAACUACCACCUUGAAAUAUUCUUGAUUCACACUAUAAAGGGUUGCACUUGAAAAUUCAUUGUUAGAAAUUUGGUAAUUAUUGGCAAAAAUAUACAAUAAUUAUGUAUCAUUGAUCCUGCUCUUUCUUCUCUCUUUCUAUCUUCACACACACACUCUCUCUCUCUCUCUAUUUUCUGCCAAAGUGUUCUAUUGCAAUCUAUUCUUUAAACAGCUAGUUGCGUUGACUUGAGAACCAAUUCAUCAAAAUAUUGAAGGACGGAGAAAAAUCUUGAACCCAGAUUGUGUAUUUCUGUUAUUCUAAAUGUAUUUUCGCCUUGACUUUAGCAGGCAGGCUCACAGCUUGCUGGUUGGUGAAUAGACACCAGAUUAAUUACUCUUGCAUUCAUUAAUUAAUGGCUAAGGUUCUAACUUACCUAAUUAAUGAAUUACCCAAUUUUUACGGAGGUGUUUGCUUUUUUAAAGCUUCACAUAGCGAGGUGAUGCACAGAAAUUCUUUCUCCAAAAAUGAAAAACAUAUUUUUAUGUGUGAUGUUUGGAUGGGGAGAAAGACUUUGAGUAUUAUUUUAUUUGAAACAUAGGAUGCUUCGAAUGGUG